UCCGUUGACUCCAUACUGUACAUCCAAUACAACCCAUUGAAAAUAGGAGACUAUAAAGAGCAACCUUCUAAUUACACCAUGUUCAUAACUAGGUUAUUAUUUGGCCUCACAAACAUGCUAAAGUAUUCAGUAAUUAAAUUGGUUUUCCGAACAGAUUCUUAAUAAAAAUAACUACUACUAGAUAUAGUUUCCUGGAUUACAGUUAAUCUCGUUCCCCAGUGCCUUUCCAAUUGUGAUAUUUUUGCGGUUUUGAGAAAUAGUAUAGCGGAAGAAGAGGAGGUCGAAGAAGGAGAAAUAUGUCAAGAUUAUUCUGUUGACAUUGAUAUGAAGAUUGACAGAUAUUUGGGUGAAUUUAGAGAAGAGUUUGAAGGAAUUAUUUCUUUUGAGAAUUUAGGAUCAAGAUUUGGGAUGUAUGGUAGCUUUUUGCCCUGUUAUCAACAUCCCCCUUCCCUUCUAUUUCAUCCAACAAUUCAAAGUGUUCCUUCCACUUCAAAGUUUUCUUCUCAACAAUCCAACAGUGUUGAACUUAAUCCUGAAGUAACAACUAGUUCCGUUGGUGGGCCCAUCUCUCUGCGAAAGAAAACUGUUAAGAGAGUUGCAAGCCAUAGGGAUGAGCCACCAGUUUCUCCAUUCAUUAUACUAGGAGAUUGGAUUUUGUUGUGUUAAUUGUUGCAAGUGGAGGCUUUUCCCGUAUGGUACAAAACGCGAGCAACUGUCUGAUAGUUGGCUCUGCAGUAUGUUAGACUGGCUUCCUGGAAUGGACCAUUGUGACGUUAGUGAGGAGGAUACGACGAGGGGUCUACAUGCCCUGUACCAAAGUCUCAUACUAACUAACUUUUAGAAUCGUGGUGGUAAGGGCUCAAUUGAUGUUAAAGCACAUAAUGGAAGGGAAAUUUCUGUAAAGAAAACGAAAUUGAGCGAUCAAGAUUGUUUAGUGACUUCGCGAAGUAAUGGUAAUGACUUGGGUGAUGGUGAUGCUAAUGCUGUUGAUAGGGAGGUUAGUGGUGGAUUCAGAAAAUAGAAGACAUCCAAGGUGAUUCAGAGUGAAAAAGGGGAGUCCAGUACAAGCAAAGGUGAAGACAAAUCAAGAACGAGAGGUACAAUUACCAGGAUUAUACCAGGAAUCAAGGAUUCUCCUCCUAUAGACAGGGGUACUACAGAGAGAGAUCACCUGAGGAAGAAGUACAGAGUAAAGCGCCAGUCUCAAGCAGAAUUUGGCAUGGUCCGCAUGCAAGUUUGCAAGUUCCCUCGCAAGCAGGCCCUUGGAUAUGGGAAGGAAGCGAGGACCUGUAUUGCAAUUUGAUGAAGAGGUACAAUUACAGAAAUUCCGUUCUUCAGUGGUUACAGUUCUCAUUGAUAAUUCGAAUCACAGUGCGUCACUGUAAUCUGUUGUUCAGGCACCACACUGAUGUCUUGUUCCCAAUUUCGGUCGGUUUUACUGCCUCAAUAAUGCGCAGUUACCUGAAGGUUUGCACCUGUUUUUCAUACAUGAUAUUGUGACCCUCCUUGUUCAGCAAUUAGGUUGCUGAUUCACGUUCUGUCCUUUCUUGAUUUGCUUGCAUGCCAGAUCCUUCUUAUGUCUUCUCUAGGAUCAUUCUUGAUCAUUUCUCAAAUAAAUGUUGUGGUUAUGUUCCACAUAGUCACAAUGUUGAGUGAAUCUAUUGUGAUGUUAUGCAAUGAUGUUUUCCAGGGUUACUUCCAGUGUGUUAAUAACUUUUUCCCUAAGAGUUGGUUGAUAUGUUGAUUCAUUGUACUGUUCAGGUUGCCAACAUUGCCAUUGAACGCUGAGUUUCCACCCAACUUCUCUCAAACAACACUGCUGGCCUCAAGAAUUACCAACUCGUGUAACUUCAAGCGCUUCUUUGCUUCUUUUGACAGUCUACACAUGAAAGUAUUGGCACUUAACAUUCCUUAUCUAAAUCCACUUUUAUGACCUGUAGAUUCAUUGAAAACUGGGUUUAAAAACAUUGAGACUUUUAGAACAUUAUUACUAUAUCAAGUUUAUGCACUGAUAGUAUUAGCAUGUUAUUUCCAUAAAGUCAGACUAAAUGGACUUGUGUAACCUUUGAGAUUUACAAGUGCUGAUCCUCGCACCUUAGAUUUCAGGGCUCUCCAGUCAUCAGUCACCACUAUUUGGGACCGUUUGAAGGUUUCCAUAAACUAUAGCAUUUAGCAUCUUAUUCUCUUGUGUGUUGCUCCUACGAUUCAAUUUAUUUGGCCUACUUUUUUUUUUUAGUCCGUUUCAAAAAGAAUGAACGUUUCCUUCUUAGCAACUCUUUAGUUUCAACUUUCCACAUGGCAUGUUUAAGGCGGCAAGAUUAAAAGAAAUUUUGAUACAUUUGACAUAUCUUUAGUUUACGACCACAAGAUUCAAAAGUCUUCUUUACUUUCUUAAACUCCGUGCCGAGAAAUAGGUCAAACAAAUUGAAACUGAGGAAGUGUAUCUUUAUAUUCUAUGCGAAUUUGUGUGGGAUUCUUAAUUCAUGAAGGUGAUUCACACUAGAUUUUGCUUUUUGAAUGGUAUAUAUGUUUUCUAUGACACUGUUCCAAAGUGCUUUAUUAUCAGCAUCUCUGGUUUGCUCCUGUUUUAUGUGGUCAUAAGUUUUCCAGAAUAAUUUUUGUCUCAGGUUCUAAGAAACGGAUUACUAGAGCUAUGAAGGCCAUUCUUCAAUUAUAUACUUCAUCAUCAGAAGUGGCAUCUGUUCUUUUGAAAGUUAUGCUGUAGAUAAAAGAAUGCUCUAACAAUCCAUGAAACCAUUGACAUGCAUACUGCAUAUGAUCACUGGAAAUCAAUCCUUAAAAAUUUUAAAUAGAAAAUCGGAUUCGCUUCUGACUCUUCUGUAGCUGUAGAGAAGAUUGAGACUAUGGAAACCACAAAGCUUGAACUAUCUGCGGUUAAGUCUAAACUUGAGACACGAUGCCAUCACUAGGAUCAAGAUCUGCAGUUCCUCUUCAUCCACCAACCCCCCCGCCCCCCUCCCCCCCUCCCUCAAAUAACGAGCAUUCUGCCAUGAUUUACUUUCAGUUUCCAACUAUGAAAUAGCCUGCUUGUUGUUUUCUUUCAGUUAUUUAUUUGAAAUAAAGCAUUGACGUUUGGAAAUAACGUAAAUUUUUCCAUUCCUUCACAAUGAAAUUAUACGUACUAGAAAAUUUCACAAUUAGCAAGCUCAACUCUCUGUUGUAACCGUGCAGGCAUGAAUAAAUGAUUGUUUUUCAUUGCUGGUAA